CAAACAUUACCUAAAAUAGAAAUAUGUGGGUUCAGGUAUCGUGCAAUUCUGCGAAAUAAAUUUUGGAAAGCAGAUUACUCGUGUUAGAUGCAGGCGGCGAAUUUAAAGAAAUGACGGCGGCGAGCUCUGAUUCUGAGUCCCAAAAGCCAAGUUACGAAACAUUCCGAUUGUUCUCCUCCACCGACAGCACCAGUUCUGGGUUCGGUUUUUUUGAUGCUAGACAAGCACCUUCCAUACCCCCACCUCCUUGUAUUGAAGUGCUUGGCUCUGAGGCUUCACCGUCGGUGGAAUACAGUGCGGAAUCAGUGAGCUUGGAUGGGGUUACUCUGCUGAAGGGAAGGGUCAAUACGCAAGAAGUUUUUGGCUUAUCCAACUCUGAUUUAGUGCCAGGGAAAUAUGAAGGUGGGCUAAAGCUGUGGGAAGGCUCACUAGAUUUAACUAAAGCUCUUAAUUCAGAAAUCAGAAGCGGGCAUAUUUCAUUUUCUAAGAAGCGAGUUUUAGAGGUUGGAUGUGGUCAUGGACUUCCUGGAAUCUUUUCAUUGCUUGAGGGGGCAGCUGUCGUGCAUUUCCAGGACUUCAAUGCUGAGGUCCUACGUUGUCUCACCAUCCCCAAUGUAAACACAAAUAAAUUUGGGAAACCUCAUCCAUCAUCUUCAAACAUAGCCAUAUGUGAUGAGGAAGAAGUUCGCUUUUUUGCUGGUGACUGGAGUGAAAUUGAUAAACUUCUCCCUUUCGUGGAUAACAAUGCAAAGGAUGGUCCUGGUUAUGACUUUAUUCUGAUGGCAGAGACUGUUUACUCAAUCAGCAGUCUCCAAACCCUCUAUAAUCUUAUCAAGAAGUGUCUGCGCUAUCCUGAUGGAGUUGCUUACAUGGCUGCAAAGAAGUAUUAUUUUGGAGUAGGUGGUGGAACUCGACAAUUCUUAUCUGUGGUGGAAAAAGACGGCAUCAUGAUUAGUACUCUUGUUGCUGAAAUCACAGAUGGUGCAUCUAACGUGCGUGAAGUAUGGAAGCUUUCAUUCAAGUAGUACUCUCUAAAUGCGAGUUCGAAGGAGAAUCGAGUCACCCGAGAAUUGAAAGAGGAAUAAAUUCUGAAGAGGGAGAUUCUUUGCCACGAGCCACGACUUGUAGAUGAGCUGCCAUGGCGCCUAUAUGGCAACAUGCUUGGGGGAGGCUCUCAGUGUCAUGCGUUACGGCGUAUGGUCACAUUUCUGUUGUCAUAAGUCGCGAAAUGAAGUAGAAAGUAAAGGAAAAGCAAAGGAAAUCAAGAGAGAUGCGAAAAAUCAGUGUUAGGGCUUGAAGAAACCAAUUUGUAGGAGUAAUUUGAAGCUCAUUAACACCAAGGGAAAUAGCUCGGGAAGUUUGUAUAGAGGAAAGCUUCUAGAGGCUUAGGAUUGCGAUCCUAAUUUGUGUCUCUUUAUUUUCGGGUCAUUAUCUGUAUUUGACAAUUUCAAUUACCAACUAGGGAUAGAUCAUUUUGAUUCUUACUUGCAUGAUGAGAAUUGUGGAGUUGAAAGUGUAUUUUGGACCCUAGGGAGUGAGUUGAUGAUAUAUGUUAUAUGUGAUAGGACUAAAAUACUAAUGCAAGUAGGAUUAUAGCAUAUUUUGAAAUGAUUAUGGAUUACUUGAUGAAAA